UCAUAAACAGUUCAGUCAGUUUUAAGUGGGUGUUGUGGGUAAUUUCGCAGUUUUUCUUUGAGGCUGAAGGCCUAGUGAUGAUUCUUUGCAGUGUAAUUCUCUCUGUCGGAGAUAGG